AGAUCUGGGGAAUUCCCCUAAAACAUCUCAUGUGUCCCCUAACAGAAGAGAUGUGGCAGUAGGCAUUGGGCUCCAUCCCAGCAUACUCCUGGGUGUGUGCUGGGUGACACUAGAAGACUGAGGUUGAGGAAAGCCAACUGAGCCUUUCCCCAUCAAACUACUCCUGGGCACUCUUCUGGCUCGGACACUGAUGACAGCUUGAGGAAGGAAGCUAAGGCACCAGCAGCAUCGGGGAGAUACAGGGCCCCUUCAUCCCUAAGAUCUUCCCCCAUUCCUGUCAGUAGGAAAACCUCUGCAUUCUCAGGCACUUGCUCAUUGCCAGAAUUCUUCUCCAGCAGCUUGUCACCUUGAGCAGAGGGGGUUGUGGUGAGGUCUCCAGACCCAUUUGGUCUAAGCCUCUAUAGGACUCUGACUCAGUGGUCACACAGGUACUCUCUGGCCAUGGUUAAUCCCUAGGCUACUCUCCUCCCUCUUAUGCUUGACUGCCAGUUUGGCCUUUGCCUCUUGGAAACUCCUGAAGACCAGAAACUGGCACCCAGAGAGUCAGUGCCUUCUCAUCCUGUCCGAUGGUUCACCCAAAAGAUAAAGGGAGCCCCCCCCCCUUGGCUUUCUGCCUGGAAUGCAGGCCUACCAGUCAUCAGGCAGAGGCGUGCAUCUGGACUUAUGUCUCGUUCCGUGUGUGUGACACUGAAACCAGCAUCUCCAUCUGAAAAUUAG
rnacentral:lncRNA from 1 species